UCAGAUGGCUGGAUGGCCGCGCCUGACCCUUGGGAUCAUCCCUUGCGGGCGGGUGAGGAAAGUCCGGGCACCACACAAGCACGGUGCCGGUUAACGACCGGCGGGGGCGACCCUAGGGAAAGUGCCACAGAAAGCAAACCGCCCACGUUCGCGUGGGCAAGGGUGAAAGGGUGCGGUAAGAGCGCACCGCGCCCCCGGCGACGGGGGCGGCAUGGUAAACCCCACCGGGUGCAAGAUCGAGAAGGACGGCCGGGGGCUUCGGGCUCCACGCGCGCUUGUGCGCCGUCGUCCGGGUGCAUCGCGCGAGGCGGCUGGCGACAGCCGUCCCAGACGAAUGGCCAUCCAUCCCGCGCUUUCGGGCGCGGGGGGACAGAACCCGGCUUACAGGCCGUCUGAUCCU
rnacentral:RNase_P_RNA from 1 species